GGCAAGACGGCAGCGCGGCCAGGCCGAAAGGCCGUCCGUGAGGAAAGUCCGGGCUCCGCAGGGCAAGGAUAACUGCUAACGGCAGCCGAAGGCGACUUCAGGGAAAGUGCAACAGAGAGAUACCGCCGGGGGCUUUCCCCGGUAAGGGUGGAAAGGCGAGGUAAGAGCUCACCAGCGCACGGGAGACUGUGCGGCUCUGCAAACCCUAUCCGGAGCAACACCGCAAAGAGGGACAUCAUGUGGCGGCCCGUCACGUCCCGGCAGGUGGCGACGAGCAGCGAUGGCGACAUGCUGCCCAGAUAGAUUGUCGUUUCAUACAGAACCCGGCUUAUAUGCCUGGUCG
rnacentral:RNase_P_RNA from 1 species